AAAUGGCGUUGGCUUAUAUUUCCAAUGUAAUUGUCAAGGCAUGUUUAUGACAUUUUUUUUAGUGUUUAAAAGCUGUAUGCAACAAUAAUGACUACUAGCUCGCUAAUAUUGGUUUCCUUCUUACUGCCGAAUAUAUUAGAGGAAAUGAAAAUUGAGAUGUGAUUUUCACGCAUUUCCCUACAUGAAUUAAGGAUUGAAAUUGCGUCGUGGUUUCGACAUGCUUGUAAUUCACCAGUCCUCACAGGACUAACGAUCAUCAUCAAGUAACCUUUAUAAACAUUACUUGUUCACUAUAAGUACUAUUAUACCCUUGAUUUAGUAAGUCCAUAAUAAAAGCUGUGACCAUCCUGCUUUUUUUUUUAAAGGGGCUAUGUCUCCCUUGGUUCACGUAAACCUUUUUGGCAAGUUUCAUAAGACACAUUAAGAAAAGAAUUUUAAUUUUUAACCAAUAUAGUGUGUAAUUUAACUAAUUUAUUGUUGAAAGUUCAUUGUUUCAUUCACCCACCAUGUAUUAUAUUACCUAUAGAUGUAAUCUGUACCCAGUCAUAUCCACAUAACGCUAUGAAAUCAGGGCUAAGCAAAAUUGGGAUUACGAGAAACAUUUAUAUUGCAGAAGAGGAAAAACUGAAAACAUUCAGUUUGAUAUUCUGAAAGUAACACGGAGAUGUCUGUUUGUAUUGGAUUUAGCAUAAAUUCAACAAUGAAUUAACUACUAAGAUUUUCUACUUAAAUUAAUAGAAUUUAAGAACCCAGUUGAGACAGAAAAGAGACACACCCUCUGAUGAGACAGACAGACUCUUCCAGGCAAUAAAUACGUGGUUUGAAUUUCAUUAGUGAACCUGUUUUCUCUCUUUGUUUUUUUUUCUCAAACUGGUGCUUACCUAUAAUAAUAAACGCAAAGUUCUGUCUAUCCAUCCGAGACCCCUGUAUCUCAGUUUACAUUUGCUCUACAUAGACAUAUAAUACCUUUUUGGAGUCAGAAUGAGCCAGGGAUUGGAAACCUGCCCAUCAUGUGGUUCUUGAACAUCCAGCAUUGGGAUCAUGUUUGGAUGAGGAUUUGUUAUAUGCUAACAGUUGAAAAUUCAAAUUCUAAAAGAACUCCAAAAAUUUGUGAACUUUCAAGUUUUUCAUUUAAUACCAUAUUGGUAGAUUACCAAUAAAUGCUUUAUUAUUAUUAUUUCUCUCUUUAGUUUUGGGCUGCAGGCCCAAUUAGCAUUCACAGGAGUGAGCUCAAAAGUCUGCACAGAAUGCGGCUUUUAAGCUAGUAACGUAUAAAAUUAAAUCAAACAAGUUCAGAGAAUUAAGGACCUAUUGCACUGUCAUAGUCAGUUUUUCCACCAGGUGAAUGGCUUUUUUUUCUUUAAUGAUAUAUUUUGUUUUAGAUAGAUGUACUAUCUUUGCUAUAACAACAGAAAAGCAAAUUAUAUGUGAUUGCUGGUGUACAACAGUUUAUUUUACCGUUGAUGCACAGGUACCCACCACAAGAUAUUCCCAACAUAAAUGUUCAAUAAGAUACACAGUUUAGAAUAAGUUGGAAGAAUUAAGCAUAAAUUAGUAGGGUAGGGUUAGGUGGGCCUGGGUGCAGUUACCUUAUUCUGAGGAGCAGAAGCUGUUAUUGUAGUGACAGAAUAUAUAGGAUUAGGGAACACAUUUAAUAUGUUAGAAAUGAAAGCCUUGGAUAAAAUACUUAUGGUAUUUAGCAAAAUUCCAUAGUAGGUUUUGAGUUCAAAUCCUACUAUGGUCAACUAAUCACCCUCUAGGGUUGAUAAAAUAAAGUACUAGUCAAAUUCUGCGGUCACUAUAUGUACUUGUAUAUUGUUGGCUUGUACAUGUAUAUUGUUAGCUCUUUCUUAUAAUUUGAGACUUUCAAUUUCUCUCUGUUGAAGAAAAUAUCACCAGGAAAAAAUGGCAUAGAUUUGUUUUCACUGAUGGGGGUGACCCACAGACUAUGGUUUCAGGGCCAUCCUAUGCAGCACAUGUAGAAUAAGACAACCGAUAUCAGGUGAUAGAACUGCAAUGGACUGACACUGAUUAGGUUUUAGGCUCAAAUGGCACAUUCAUAGCCACUCUGUUUGGUGUUGCAUUCCUCCAGUUCAAAAUUUUUGCAUAUCUAUCAUUAUUGUUAAAUACAUUGACUUGUUCUGCCAUUAUGGUCUGGAGUAGUUAUAUGUACAUAUAGUAUAUAAUCAUUAGAUAUAGAGUAUAUAUAUUGUUUUUGCAUUGAUGCCGGUGUAGCUUAGACAGGUGUGAAGUACUCUCUCAUCACUUCAUCUUUAUAUCUUAGGUUCUCAAUGUAAUAUUUAACUUCCACUGUUAUCUCAUUUUCACUUAACACUUAUCUGUUUGCAUGAAAUGCCUACACCAGUGCAGCCACCUCUCUUACAGAGGUGUUGCCUUGAUUAUCCAGCUUGUUUGUGCUCUACCUUUCUUUAAUGUUAAUGUGUUGCACAAUCAGUGGAUCAUAUACAAUUUAUUUCUUUUGAACUUCCAUUUGCAAUGUAGUAGCCUCUGCACAGUCACUCAACCUGCUAGAAAUAGCAACCAGAUUUCUUAAAAUCAUACCCUUACAUCUUAUAAAAGAAUACACUGGACAGUGUGAUCAGAGUAUACAAUGCAAUUCUUGAAAAAUGAAUAGAUGAUCAUGGCCAAAAUACCCACUCAAUCAGGGUUAAACAGCAACUAUAGACCUGCCAAACUUAAUGUCCAUAUGUCAUUACUAUGUAAGAUCAGAUUACUUGUAUAUCUUUCAGAUAUUCAUUAUAUAUGUGAAUAUAUGUAUUUAGCUUUACUCUGAAGUAGUUUGGAGGUUAAAAUUUCCAAGAGAGAACAUUCAAGCCUAACAAUUGAAGGAACUUAAACUAAGUUUUGUCUUGGUCAGUAGUAAAAGUCAUCUGUAAAUUUGUUGUUGACUAUGAUUUAAAGAAUCAUUUUGACACACUUGGAGCAAUAAUGUGGGUUUAAGAUGUCAAAUUAAUUGGGUGAUGUAGUUGUUUUGUAUUUCCAAAUCAUUUCUAACUGAGCAGAUCUAUGAUUAAAAGCAUUUCAGUUGUGUGCCCUCCCGUCUUUUCCCUAUAUGCAGACAACUUAGGAUCAGUGUGUCCUUUUUGUAAGAUGGUGGAAUGUGAUUUGAAAGAGAUUUGGCUGCUAUCUCUGGCAGGUCAUGCAAUCAUAUAAAGGCUCCCCUAUUGGCUUGUUGAUAAUUUGGUCUAGCAGUUAGGUAGGUGGCUUAAUGCCUUGAGUACAUCUUGUUAGAGAAAUACACGUGCAACAAAGCAUUUAAUAGACUAGACUUCUCAUCUGGUGGGGAGAUAUAAUCACUGUUUAACUCUUCCAUAACAGUAUUUUUUAUGAAAUACUCUACUUGUGUAUUCCAAUUAAUUUUUGAAAAUAAGAUUUUGGAUGGGUUUUAUUACCAAACUGUUGUUAUUAAAGAUAGAUGUUUUGUAUCAUAGAACCAACAUCAGUAUUGAAAGGGAACCUGGAUGUACUGCCUGUUUUUGCAUUUCUAAUAGAGUCAGUGUGUCUUAUUUACUUAAUAUACUGAAUAUUGGGGUUGUUCAAAUCUUGUUUUUCAGCAGAUCAACAUAAAGAAAAAAAAUUAAAGGUAUUGUAUGAAUAUAUGCAUUUUAUAUAAUAAAUUGAAUAAAGAAAAAUGAACAUCAA